AAGUUGCAAUCUUUAACAUUCUUUGUUCACUUUCUAUAGGUUUGCUAGGUUCGGUUAAAUUCAGUAGCUUUAGUUUAAACCCUAUGCGGAAUAGAGAAUGUGUAAACUUUAAACUUCAAAUUUUGGCUCCGCAUACGACUAGCGACUAUAUAAUAAUAGGAAUUGAGCACUUGGCUUUUGUAUAUAGCUUCUAUGUGUACCAAAAUUAGAAAAUCAGGCGAUUAUUAUAAUCUUGUUGACUAAAUAUAGAAUGCA
rnacentral:misc_RNA from 1 species